UAGGGGGGUCCGGGGAACGGGGCCCGCUGCUAUACAUGAAUCACCAGUGCCUGCGAAGCGGGGAAGCCGGUGAGAAUCCGGCACGGUCCCGCCACUGUGACCGGGGAGAAAUCCCCGGAAGUCAGAUUGCCGCCCGCAGGUGUCACGACGAG
rnacentral:ncRNA from 2 species